rnacentral:lncRNA from 1 species
AUAUUAAAACAUUUACAUGUCAUUAAAAAAUCAAAAUAAAAUUAAAUUAAAAAAAUAAAUUGUUAAAAAGGAGAAAAGAAGUGAAGAAGCGUGAUUUCCUUCUUCUCCAUCUUCGUAUUCCCCUUCCCCUCUUUUCUUUCUUUAUCUUCAAUUUCCUUCCCUCCUCCUCCCUCACCAUUUUCCUUAUUCAACUUUGCUUGUGUUUCUGGUUCGUGAGAGAAGAGAAGUGAAGCGUACAAUUGAAGAAAAAAUUCAGGAUCUGCAGCGGCCAUGUGCUGGAAAAAAUUGAAGAAAAUUAUGGGUUUUCGAAUUGGGAUCUGCAAUUCCAAGUUCUAUGUUUUGCUAGGAAAAAAAAUUGGGUUCAACUACUAAGUUUUGCAAAUUUGGGGUUUUGGAAUUGCAAUCUGUAAUUUCAAGUUUCACAAGUUCUAAGUUUUUAUUUUUAGAAAUUUUAUGGAUUUAUGGGUUCAACUACAAGUUCUAAAAUUUAUGGAUUUUUUUUUAAUGAGGUUAUGUCAAAGGUUUGAAAUUGUUGUGUUGUUGUUGCUGUGUGUUGUUGGGGUUGUUGUUGAUGUUGUGUUGUUGUUGGUUUGAGAAGAUAUUGUGUUGUUGUUAUUGAUUUGGGGUUUGUAUUUCAAGGGAGCAAAGAGAUUUAAGGGAGAUGGAGUAAAAGUAAGAGAUAAAAAAUAUGAAGAGAAAAAUGAUGAUAGAAGAAGGAGAUUGAAAACGAGAGUGAGGAAGAAGAUGAAUAUGUAAUUGAAAAGAGAAUAGAAGGAAGAAGAGAAGAGAGAAGAGACUGAUAAAGAGAAUAGAAGGAAGAAGAAAAGAAAGAACAUAAACAGAGAAGGUGGGAGAGAAGAGAAAGAAGAAGAAAAGGAAGAAGAGAGAAAAAGAAAUGAAUUUUUUUUAAUUUAUCAUUAAGGGUAUUUUAGGUAUUUCACUUUCC